ACUCAUGUAUUCUAAGUAUAAAGAGCUGGAUUCUUACUUCAGUAAUGUGAUUUUCACUGUGAGUU
rnacentral:tRNA from 1 species